rnacentral:sRNA from 12 species
CCCUGACAGUCAUAUUGAAUGGCUGACACUAGCCACGACAGGAGAUACAAAUG